UCUGUGCAUAUAGCAUUAUGACAGCCUCGUCUCGCGCCGAUAUUCGUAGGGAAAUGGAGGCACACAUGUGAGGUCCUCCUAAUGAUCCAAAUAGGUGUAUUGCAGAUCGCAAGGUAUGGCCAAAAGGUGAAGAGCCGCCGGAUUGUUAUUGCCAGAUGCGGUGUGUGGCCAACAUUUCUCGUGAGCAUGAGACUUUUGGUCGGAGCGUGGACCUGAUGCGAUCUUGAGCAUUGACUAUUGCUACUUCCACGAGUGGAUCGACACCUCUAUUAGCCAUCCUGAUCAGAAAUAUUUGGCAUGGUUGAAGAAGGUGGACGAUGACAUCCGGAAGUCCGAGAGUGGGCGUGGUAGAGGCCAUAAGUGAUGGAAGUAAGCAUCGUAGUCAAUGAAUAAGAAUGUCGCCCAUUAUAUGUAUUCGCAGGCAUGUAAAGUAAGCGUGUAUCCUAUUUGUGUAAAAUAACCGUGUAUCCUGUUUUUAAGAACCGUUUGUCA